GUUUGCAGUUGGUGAAUUCCAUCGCCAAGACGUAUGUGGGAACUAACGCCUACAUGGCACCGGAGAGGAUAUCUGGGGAGCAGUAUGGCAUCCAUUCAGAUGUCUGGAGCGUGGGCAUCUCCUUCAUGGAGUUGGCACUGGGCGCUUUUCCCUAUCCACAGAUUCAGAAAAACCAAGGAUCUUUAAUGCCUCUCCAGUUACUGCAAUGCAUCGUUGAUGAGGUGAGUCGGCGUCUUAUGUGCUUUCUCUCCUAAAGUCAUUCCUAAUGGUGUGGAAAGCUUAUAUUUUGUUUCCUAAUGAAGCACAGUGCUCAGACGGCUUCGCUCGCGCUCGCUCACCCCCCUCCGCCCCGCACACAC